CGGAGGAUCCAAGCGUUAUCCGGAAUCAUUGGGUUUAAAGGGUCCGUAGGCGGGCCUGUAAGUCAGUGGUGAAAUCCGGCGGCUUAACCGUCGAACUGCCAUUGAUACUGCAGGUCUUGAAUUAUUGGGAAGUAACUAGAAUAUGUAGUGUAGCGGUGAAAUGCUUAGAUAUUACAUGGAAUACCGAUUGCGAAGGCAGGUUACUAUCAAUAUAUUGACGCUGAUGGACGAAAGCGUGGGGAGCGAACAGGAUUAGAUACCCUGGUAGUCCACGCCGUAAACGAUGGAUACUAGCUGUUGGGCGCAAGUUCAGUGGCUAAGCGAAAGUGAUAAGUAUCCCACCUGGGGAGUACGAACGCAAGUUUG
rnacentral:rRNA from 1 species